GGCUUUUUUCCUGUCGCUAUGCAUAUCCUGAUUCUUGAAGGCAAAUGGAUAACUCUUCAGAGAAAAUAAGAAAACAGAACAAGAGGCACGCAUGUUUUCCUGUCCUAUAAAGCCGUACAAACGGAACGUGACUCAAGAAUUUUUUAUACGCAGAUAUAUGAAAAAAAGUGGACAAAAACCUCAUGCCAGCAUCAAAAAUGCAACAAGAACUUUUUUCUCUUUAUAAUCUCUGGGUUCCAUAACAAAGGAAAAAAAAAAGGUGACGUUCUUUUUAAAGUUUGGUAGCUUCAUGAAACAAAGACUUUGAUCUGUAAAUAAGUUGCCUUCUCAUCUACAACACACAUUCUCAAGCACAUUUUUUUUUUUUUUCCCCCACAGCUUUUGAUUUGGCUUAACAGCAGCAUGGAGAGAAGAGAACACAUUUACACGGAGGACUUGAUCAAUACCUCAGGGUUUUUCUUUUAAAAUUUUAAAUGUAAAGAAUGAUUUCUAAAAUAAUAAACAGUCCCUAAUUUGGACAUGACCUAAGCAAAAGGGUUUUUUUGCUUGUUUGUUUGUUUUUCCAACAGUUAAAAUACAAGUUAGAAAGUUUGCUGGCAGUUUAUUUCACGGGAAUGUAUCAGAUGUACAUCAUGUCUGAACGCAUUCCCGACACACAGACGUCAAGGGAACAGGUACAAGGGUACAACGGACAGGGUGCUAUAGGACAGGACCAAAACCUCAGGGGUGCCCAGGAGAACGGUGCUGACUGCUAAGAACUGCUGGUUUGUUAUUCGAUGGGGGCCCAGCUGACACGGGCCUUGUUUUAUCCCACUGAGUCACAUUUUUGUUUGCAAUGUACUUUCCCCUCCCCACUUCCCCACUGGGGAAAAAGCAAUCCCCCUUCCCUCCUUCGAGUAUCAUCUGUGACUGGAGGGAUGGUCUGAGACUGUGAGCCAGCCUGUCACACAGGGGAGCUGGCAGGUGUUACCUGCUCACACCUGGCCUACAGGCCGCCCAGAAUCACCUGGUGAGAGGGCAGCGCCGCCCAGAGAGGCGCACGUGCUGUACCCAAUCACUGGUUUUAAUAGUAAAAGCUCUAUGACAAAGGACUAAAUUACGUGAGUCAACAGCACGUUUCGUGUUUUUGGCAUUUCAACCUGCGGAGAACUUCUAUGUAAAAUAUGCUGCUCUGAGGCCCCCACGGUAUCUUUUAAGAAGCUGUUCUACAGAAUCAGGGUAAACAUUUAAUAUUGUCAUAAUCUAUAGAGUUCUCUGUAUCUAAGUGAUUUGUCGAUGCUGAUACCGUAAUAUCAAAAAUGUGCCAAAAGGCACUAAAUUAAUCUUUCACACUUUAAAACAACAACAACAACAA